CCUACGGGUGGCUGCAGUGGGGAAUAUUGGACAAUGGGGGGAACCCUGAUCCAGCGACGCCGCGUGAGUGAAGAAGUAUUUCGGUAUGUAAAGCUCUAUCAGCAGGGAAGAAAGAAAUGACGGUACCUGACCAAGAAGCCCCGGCUACCUGCGUGCCAGCGGCCGCGGUAAUACGUAGGGGGCAAGCGUUAUCCGGAUUUACUGGGUGUAAAGGGAGCGUAGACGGUAGGACAAGUCUAGAGUGAAAUCCCGGGGCUUAACCCCGGAACUGCUUUGGAAACUGUGCGGCUGGAGUGCAGGAGGGGUAAGCGGAAUUCCUAGUGUAGCGGUGAAAUGCGUAGAUAUUAGGAGGAACACCGGUGGCGAAGGCGGCUUACUGGACUGUAACUGACGUUGAGGCUCGAAAGCGUGGGGAGCAAACAGGAUUAGAUACCCCUGUAGUC
rnacentral:rRNA from 1 species